GUUGCAUUUUUAAAACAACGGAACGGUUGGAAUAGGAGAACCCACGGGAUUUCGAGUACUUAGCGGGCGUUUAUUGUUUAGAAGUCUUAGCCUUUUGCUUCCGCUGUGCAAUGAAGAUACCGGUCCAGUCACGCCAGCUCUGAUAAUUUCGGGGUGUGACAAGUUUCUUUUCUUAAAUGGCUAAUAUUGGAUUUUGUUGUAUUUCCAGUUAACUAGAGAGACAAAGAUGGGGCCAAUGCUACAAAUGCCACUUUCUAUUAGAUAGAACGACAUUUGGCAUCUGGGUCGGAUCGAAAUCUCUUGCAGGGUCUUCUUCGUAAGCGAUCUGAAACGGUUUGUGGUACAGUUCUUAUGCAGUUAUAGCACCCUACCAAUGUAUGCACUCGAUACGCAGAUGGGUACAAAUUACAAGGCUGAAUUAAUUCCCCAAAGAACUAGAGAUGCAAUCCAUGGUUGGGGAAAAGAAGCCAGAAGGAGGAGAAAGCGGUUAGUAAUAUAUGGCGAUGAUUCAACGUUUCACACAGACACAAGCACCAUGUUGUUCUGUUUUUCAGGUUCACCUUCUCUGUAAAUGGGUCAUAACAAAAGGGCUAGGCUUUUUAACAUCAUCAUCAGGUUAAUUUAAGGCAAGAUCCUCUGCAGAUGUUACAAUUAUUAAGCUAUAACGGGUCAAAAGACAAAUCUAAUAUGGGAUUUUUUCCCUGCUUUUUACCACUUUGUAAACCGAUCUUUAAUUAUAAGCUUUGUACUAUUAUACAUAAUCUUAAAGUACAAAGUCGGUGGGUUUCCGCUUUCCGCAAAACCCCCUCAACUUUUGCAUAUGACAAUCCUAACCCCUUAUCAUCUUCUCUUGGCAUACGAACCCUCCAAUAUUUAACUAAUUUAAUUUUUCUUUCCAUAGCACUCGAUCGUUAAUUUCUGUCUUAAUAAACUAUUUUUUUUUGUUGUUUUUAAAAUCUUUAUAAUAUACCAUUUUGUUGUUUCAUUUGGUUUGAGCCUGCAGAACAACCCGUGUGAUCCAUGUUUAAUGCACUGCUUAUACCAUUCAAUAUAAUGUUUUUUUUUCAAACCAUUCACUAUAAUGUUUUUAAAACAUUUAUGACCUCGUGGAAGGUCAGAGUUGAAAGUUUCGAACAGAUAUCAUGUUCUUAUGAUAAGAAAAUAGCUCCACUAAAUGGAUAAUUUUUUUUGAAUUAAACUAAUUAAUAUAUAUAAUCAUAUUUCUUUUGUUAAUGAAACCAACUUGGCAAAUGCAUAUUAUUCGAAUUCUUAUCAGCUAAACGUUUCGCUAAAAGAUCGCACUGAGCGAGGUAGGUUUGGCUUUUUUAUUACUCCCGUUAACCAGUUUGAUACCGGUUGUAUACAAUAGAACUAGAGGUGGUAAAGUUAUCAGCGGUUGAAACGGGCUUGGUUUUUCUGAUGUAGUCAAUGCUUUAAUAUGAUUACAAAAACUUGUUAUUCUGUUGUAAUCUAAUUUUUGAAAUGAAAUGAUUUAGGAGAACCUGGUUGACUCAUUCAACUUGACCCAUAUCUCCUUAAAUUGUUUUAGUUUGACCCGUUUGAUUGUUGGAGAUAAGCGAUAACCCAAAUCGACCUGUAUUGUUCAUUACUACAUUUGUCUGGUUUCAGUUAACUUUGGAAAAGGAAGAGUUGAUACAGGGCGUUGUCAACCGAAUCAUCACUAAGUUCCAAGUCAUGAUAUCAUCAUAUUCAGAUCAUAUUGUCAUCCAUAAAAUAUUUGUUGAAAUAUUUUUUUUCAUGAUGUAGGAUUUGAACAAGGAACUAACCCAUAAACUCGAAGUUCAAACGCAAAGAUUAGAGCUGUUGAUAAUACUCCUUACGCCGAUGAAGGUUGCGGAAAGAGUUCUAGGAUGGAUAAUGAAGGACCAUCAAAGCGGCAAACUAACCAUCUAUGAGUCUAAACGAAAUGAGAAUCUUUUACUAAAAGUUCACAUGUAGUCCAGAUCUCUUUUCACUACCAUUAGAGGUGCAAUUUCAUCUCAUUGGGAAUUUUUGUGCAAAGACAGUGUUUCCAUGUUUAGUUAUGGAUGUGGGAAUGCAAAUAGAAUAUAUUGAGUUGAAGAGGACAUUGUAAAAUCAAUGUUUUUAUGGUUUUUCUUUCUUCAGUUAGAGGAAAAUGUUUUUAUGUGUCUAAAAGAUCAAACCGAGUUCGAGCAUAAAUCAAGAAAUUCCAGUGAACCAUUAGACUGGCACUGUUUUUGAUA